UACGAAGGGUGCAAGCGUUAAUCGGAAUUACUGGGCGUAAAGGGUGCGUAGAUGGUUCUUUAAGUCGGUCGUGAAAUUCCUGGGCUUAACCUGGGCGCUGCGACUGAUACUGGAGGGCUAGAGUUUGAGAGAGGAUGGUGGAAUUCCUGGUGUAGCGGUGAAAUGCGUAGAGAUCAGGAGGAACACUAGUGGCGAAGGCGGCCAUCUGGCUUAAAACUGACGUUGAGGCACGAAAGCGUGGGGAGCAAACAGG
rnacentral:rRNA from 1 species